GCAAGUCGAGGGGUAUAAGUCAGCUUGCUGAUUUAGAGACCGGCGCACGGGUGCGUAACGCGUAUGCAAUCUACCUUGUACAAAGGGAUAGCCCAGAGAAAUUUGGAUUAAUACCUUAUAGUAUAUAAGGGUGGCAUCACCCUUAUAUUAGAGAUUUAUCAGUACAAGAUGAGCAUGCGUCCCAUUAGCUAGUUGGUAUGGUAACGGCAUACCAAGGCAAUGAUGGGUAGGGGUCCUGAGAGGGAGAUC
rnacentral:rRNA from 1 species